GGACAUAGCUCAGUGGUAGAGCACCUGUGCAUGCAGAAGGUCCCAGGUUUAAUCCCUGGCAUCUCCA